AGCGAACGCUGGCGGCAGGCUUAACAGAUGCAAGUCGAGCGGGCACUUCGGUGUCAGCGGCAGACGGGUGAGUAACACGUGGGAACGUACCCUUCGGUUCGGAAUAACGCUGGGAAACUAGCGCUAAUACCGGAUACGCCCUGUUGGGGAAAGGUUUACUGCCGAAGGAUCGGCCCGCGUCUGAUUAGCUAGUUGGUGGGGUAAUGGCCUACCAAGGCGACGAUCAGUAGCUGGUCUGAGAGGAUGAUCAGCCACACUGGGACUGAGACACGGCCCAGACUCCUACGGGAGGCAGCAGUGGGGAAUGUUGGACACUGGGCGCAAGCCUGAGCCAGCCAUGCCGCGUGAGUGAUGAAGGCGUUAGGGUUGUAAAGCUCUUUUGUCCGGGACGAUAAGGACGGUACCGGAAGAAUAAGCCCCGGCUAGCUUCGUG
rnacentral:rRNA from 1 species